rnacentral:sRNA from 1 species
GCCCCCCAAAAUAAGUCUCCGUGCCUGGGGAAAGGCACCAUUCGCUUAGAAAGAUCACUGAGAAUUGACUGGCGAAUGACUUCCACAGAAAGCACCCUCAGGCUCCAACCCGGCGCGGCCCGGAGGCUUCCCGGGGGCCAACAGCCCAGGACCUGUCGCCGAUCUCUACGGCCCUGCCAGCCAGGA